GGGNGUAAAGNGUGCGCAGGCGGUUCUGUAAGUCAGAUGUGAAAUCCCCGGGCUUAACCUGGGAAUUGCAUUUGAAACUGAUUGGCUAGAGUACGGGAGAGGGAAGUGGAAUUUCCGGUGUAGCGGUGAAAUGCGUAGAUAUCGGAAGGAACACCAGUGGCGAAGGCGACUUCCUGGCCCGUUACUGACACUGAGGCGCGAAAGCGUGGGGAGCGAACAGGAUUAGAUACCCUGGUAGUCCACGCCGUAAACGAUGAGAACUAGAUGUUAGGUGGCUUAGACCAUUUAGUAUCGCAGCAAACGCGUUAAGUUCUCCGCCUGGGGAGUACGGUCGCAAGAUUAAACU
rnacentral:rRNA from 1 species